GACAGAGGGGGCAAGCGUUGUUCGGAAUUACUGGGCGUAAAGCGCACGUAGGCGGCUUUGCAAGUUAGAGGUGAAAGCCCAGGGCUCAACCCUGGAAUUGCCUUUAAAACUGCAUCGCUAGAAUUGUGGAGAGGUAAGUGGAAUUCCGAGUGUAGAGGUGAAAUUCGUAGAUAUUCGGAAGAACACCAGUGGCGAAGGCGACUUACUGGACACAUAUUGACGCUGAGGUGCGAAAGCGUGGGGAGCAAACAGG
rnacentral:rRNA from 1 species